rnacentral:rRNA from 1 species
GACGAACGCUGGCGGCGUGCUUAACACAUGCAAGUCGAGCGGUAAGGCCCUUUCGGGGGUACACGAGCGGCGAACGGGUGAGUAACACGUGGGUGACCUGCCCUCAGCUCUGGGAUAAGCCUGGGAAACCGGGUCUAAUACUGGAUAUGACUCCAUGACGCAUGUUGUGGGGUGGAAAGCCUUGUGCGGCUGAGGAUGGGCCCGCGGCCUAUCAGCUUGUUGGUGGGGUGANGGGCCUACCAAGGCGACGACGGGUAGCCGGCCUGAGAGGGCGACCGGCCACACUGGGACUGAGACACGGCCCAGACUCCUACGGGAGGCAGCAGUGGGGAAUCUUGCGCAAUGGGCGAAAGCCUGACGCAGCGACGCCGCGUGAGGGAUGACGGCCUGGUGUAA